rnacentral:rRNA from 1 species
CGACGAAUCUUCCGCAAUGGGCGCAAGCCUGACGGAGCAAUGCCGCGUGUGGGAUGAAGCACCUCUGGUUGUAAACCACUGCAGGGGACGGAACUCCAAAGGAAGUGGCGACUAACUCUGUGCCAGCAGUCGCGGUAAUACAGAGGCCACGAGCGUUAGUCGGAAUCACUGGGCUUAAAGGGUGCGUAGGCGGCUUGGCGCGUGCUUCGUGAAAGCCCCCGGCUCAACCGGGGAACUGCGGGGCAUACGGCCGGGCUUGAGGCGUGUAGGGGCGGGCAGAACUGUAGGUGGAGCGGUGAAAUGCGUAGAUAUCUACAGGAAUGCCGAUGGUGAAGACGGCCCGCUGGGCACGUCCUGACGCUGAGGCACGAAAGCGUGGGGAGCAAACAGGAUUAGAUACCCUUGUAGU